UUUAUUUUUCUCUCUUUUUUGUUGUCUGAUCCAAGUCCUUGAAUCUUACAUUGAUAUACUGAUUAAGGCGUAGAAGUGUUUUAGAAAAUUAAUCAUUCUCGCACCUUCAACUAAUUUGUUUUGUGGACAUGGCCAUGGCAGGCUGGUGGACCUUUCUAUCCAGUUUUAACCAGCAAACGAGAUAGCCGUCAAUCGUAUUUUCAGGAAGCAACUGUUUCGAUUCUGUUGGUAGCAACUGAUCAAAUUCCAACUUGGAAUUCCAAGACAUGAUGAUAACGUUACGCGCACACUUCAACUCUUCAAUCUUAGAGGAUUCAAUGCCCGGGAGACAGUCAGCCUUCUUUGAUGGAUGUUAAACUCAAAAUCAAGUUAUUAUACUAUUAUAUUUAAGUUUAGGUGAAUGGGAUGUACUAAACUAAAUUUUGGAAGCAUGUGUCACAUGCAAUGAGGUUUCAGAUAAACUUUACAUUGUAUUUUUUACUAUUAAUUAAUUAUUUGUCUGAGUAUUUUUUUUUUAUUGCGACUUG
rnacentral:lncRNA from 1 species